AUUGAACGCUGGCGGCAGGCCUAACACAUGCAAGUCGAGCGGAGCGGCGGACGGGUGAGUAAUGCCUGGGCAUCUGCCUGGUAGUGGGGGAUAACGUCCGGAAACGGGCGCUAAUACCGCAUACUAUCAGAUGAGCCUAGGUCGGAUUAGCUAGUUGGGGGGGUAAAGGCUCACCAAGGCGACGAUCCGUAACUGGUCUGAGAGGAUGACCAGCCACACUGGAACUGAGACACGGUCCAGACUCCUACGGGAGGCAGCAGUGGGGAAUAUUGGACAAUGGGCGCAAGCCUGAUGCAGCCAUGCCGCGUGUGUGAAGAAGGCCUUCGGGUUGUAAAGCACUUUCAGCGGGGAGGCGUUACCCACAGAAGAAGCACCGGCUAACUCCGUGCCAGCCGCCGCGGUAAUUC
rnacentral:rRNA from 1 species